rnacentral:lncRNA from 1 species
CCCUGGUGGGCUUUGAACACCUGAGCUCAAACGAUGCCUUGACCUCUCAAAGUGCUGGGAUUACAAGUGUCAGCCACUGCACCUGGCCGACAUUUUUUAUUUGUUUAGAGACAAGGAUUCCCUGUAAAGCUGCAGGGGCACAAUCGUGGCUCUCACUGCAGCCUCGAAUUCCUGGGCUCAGUGAUCCUCUUGUCCCAGCCACCUGAGUAGCUAGGACUACAGGUGCACCCCACCAUGCCUCCUAUUUUUUGUGUUUGUGUGGAGAUGAAGUGUGUUGUCUAGGCUGGUCUCAAGUGAUCCUUCAGCCUCAGCCUCCUAAACUGCUGAGAUUACAGGCAUAAGCUUUUUUGAUAAAGGAAAAACUAGUGAGCAUUUCACAUUGUAGAAUCCAAAAACAUGAAAGUUAAUCUUUUCCUGUCAAUUUACAGUUUUGUAAAUGUACCCAGGUGAAGAGACUGGUCUGUUACUGUAGAUAGAAAAGUACCAAAACAAAGUUUUACUUUGUUCAGUAUACUGUCGAGGCAACUUUCUAAAUGAGAGGGUCCAGGUUCUUGGUUAAAGAAGGAACUUAGAAUUAACAAAAUAGUGACAAACAUUUGCGGCAGCGCGCCUCAGGGCACCAGCUGCAGGGGUCUGCCCACAGACCCUGACCCUGCGACAGAUGAAUAAAGUACACUGACACACAGAUAGUCUGUUUUGCCAGUCCAGCUGAGGGUGUCCCACUGCUUACAGACUCCCUGGAGAGUUCUGAAAACAGUUGCAACUAGGCCUCAGUCAGCUAGUGAGACUUGCAUUUAUUCAAAAAGAUUAAGGAUGGCUUGAGUCAACACCAUUAGAGGGUAAUUGAUAUUGUGGACUUCCCAAGUAAAAAGCACUUAACCCCCCGUGGUACAUCCAAGAUUAGUCUUAAGAUCAUAUGACUAAACAAACUAGGUAAACUACUCUGCCUUCCUUUAUUACUACUUUAAUUUGUUUAAAAGUAAAGAUCAGGUUGCCUUCAACCAUAUCUAUCACCGAAGCUAUGCAAACUUCUCGGCCUUCCAAGAAUUGUAUCUGUCUCUGUAACAAUCUUUAAUGUUUUUCCCACCAGCCUGAUUGAAUCCCAACACAUAUUCAGAACUUAAGGCUAGAACAAGAUGAGGAAGAUAUGACAGCCCGUGAUUUUAAGCAAUCUAAGGAAACCCAUGCUUGCAAAGAAUUCAAAUGACGUGAGAGCUACUAAGAUAAAAUGUGGCCAUGCACCAAGCCUUGACGGCAAUAUUUAAUCUCAUAACAAUUCUUCUUUCCUCCUAUAUAAGAAGCAUGGCAGCGACACUGUGCAUAAAUUAAGGCAAACUGUUGUUAUGUGAAAAUGUUAAUGAGGUAGAUUCCUUUGGAAUCAUUAGUGUGAAGAGCUGGUUUUUGUUUUCCCAUUGCCUAGGCCCUGACUUUAGUAGUGACUGAUGCAGCUUUUCUAGUCUAACAACCCUCUCCCCCAAGUAAUUCUUUGAUGCCCUGCCCUUCAGCUUCAUCUUUUACCACUUACUAUUGGGUUUUGCCACCAUUUAUUUUAUCAUUCACUUAUCUGUUCCUCUUCCUAAGUUACAAACGUUUCUGAAGCAAAAGAAAAUGUAUCACUGUAGAGAGUCUAGGACCUUUAGUGUUAUUUGGUCGUUUACUUUUCAUACACUGCAGCUUUUACUGUUUUGAACCUUCAUUGCUAUAGUAGGUAUUGAAAAAUACUGAACGACCAGAAGUGAUUUGAUUUCUCCCUUAUCUGGUAAAUAAUUUUUUUUUUUUUUGAGAUGGAGUUUUGCUCU